CCUGCUUCUAUUUACGGUGAUCAGUUUAUAUCAUCUAGCAAGGUCAGAUCUUAUAUUGCAAAAAAUCACUGACAGAAAUAUAGGAGGUGGAAAAUUAUGAUCAGGAUUUAUAUUUCGUUUAAACUAAUCGGGUUUUUACAGCUUUAGAUAGGACCGCAUGGGCGAAGCUUUUGUCUCGUGUUACAAUCUCUGCCAGUAUAUCAAGAAUUUGUCGUUUUAUAUACAUAAUUAUACAAAUAAAAAAAAAAUUCUAGCAUAUUUGGAACCAAAACAUGUAUUAUUCGAAGCAGAGUGAGCAAAUUAUCGUUUCAACUGGCCGAAAUUUUUCAAUUCGGAGUAUUUGAUUAUUGUUACGAUUUAUAUUACGUGUAUUAUUAGUUACGUAGUGUCGGGGAAAAAAAAUUCUCAGGAAUCUGAAACUACAUUCUUCAGGAUGAAAGGGAAACUAUACUCAUUCGCAGAUACUUAAGGAGAAAACUGUUUCACCUAAAGCUCACCUUCUUGGGUGAUGGAGAAGAGGUUGUCUGAGUUGCCUUCUCUUUCAUUUCUUCCUGAAAAUAAGUAGCAAUGACAUGAAAGAGAGAUGAGAGUGGGAGCAAACCAAUACCUCAGCCAUGGAUCGAACUCUAAGGCUAACAUUCCUGCGCAAGGUUGGUAUGUAUGUUGCGGGAAGGCCGAGCUGGUUCACCCUGGACCUGUUAGAAAGGCGAGAAACAGGGCUCGCCAAGAGAGAUUGAAUGGCAUACGAGGCAGACAUAUCUAAUUGGAAAGAGAGAUUUUCCGGGUUGGAACGAU